AAUUUGCAACAUACUAUUAUAUCCCAGAUUGCAUUUAAUUUAACAUCACCUAAGAACAAAAAGAACAUUGGAGAAUAUGUUUUUAUGGAAUUGAUAAUAAUUCAGGCAUGACGGGAUGCAAUUAUUUAACUGCUCUGCUCUUCAACAGGAAGAUUGUGAAUAAAGGUGUGUGUUCUUCUCAGCUCCUGUGUCCUCCGUCUCGCUGGUCUCUGAGUGUUUGUCUCAGGGAGAGAUGAAGGUGUCCUGCUCCUCUGAGGGAGGGGACAGUCCUCAGUACAGGUGGACUCUGAAUGGAAAGUCACUGACAGAAGCUGAGCUGCUUUCUGGAAACAAGCAGACAAACAUCAUCACUUUGAAACAACACGUCUCAGGACGUCUGGUCUGUUCCUCCUGGAACCACGUCAGCUCUGCUUCUAAAGAGAUAAACAUCACUAACUGUGGUUUCAUUUACAUAAACUGCACUUUUAAUGGGACGAAGAUAUCAAAGUGGGUGUUUAAGGAAAAUGACACUCUGUGUGUUGAACCAACAACAUCACCAACAGAGGGACAAAGCACUGUGGGUAAGGAGUCAGAGGACUAUUAUUCUCCAUCCUUCACACAUUUGUUAACCAAUAAGUAAAUGUGGACCAGCUUGAAGGUAAAUCAAAUUCUCCCAAAUUAAAAUAUAAUUUAGGCCAUAUUAAAACAGUAAACACAAUUUAUUAAUACUCUGUAACAAUGGUGUCCAGACUGCAUGGUGGCAAAGUGGUUAGCAUUCUUGCUUUAUGGAGAAGGCUCUGGUUAAAAUUCCAUCAGUGGCCUUUCUGUGUGGAGUUUGCAUGUUUACCUCUAGUAAGUUUUUUGCAGCCACUCUGGAUUCUCACAAAGUCCAAAAACAUGCUUCAUAUGUUAACUGGGGACUCUCAGUUGUCUCUUAGUGUGAAAAAACUAGUUUGUAUUGCACACAUAAAUCUAGUCUUCCUCGAUGCAGAAUACUAUAAAUAGAAUCUCCUUUGUAAUUUAAAAACGUUUUUUUGGUUAUGGGUCUAACAUAUUGUUUCGUCUUUAUGUCUCUAGUUCACACAGAUCUGUCCGUGCUGAAAUGCAGUCUGAUGUUUCUGUUUUCUGUUGUUUGCUUUGUUGGAAUCGGCGUCUAUUUCAAGUGGAAGAAGAUCAAAUCUGAGAAAGCUGAACAGUUUGCUGCAAGAAACAGAAGAAAGUUUUCAGAUCAUUUCUAUGAAAAUGAACAAGCACUGUACAGUAACAUUCAACCAAAAUCAUGGAAACAUUUCAGUGGAGAAGCUUGAUUUGUACGGAUCAUUUUGAUGAAAACAUAUAGCGUUUUCCAAACUGAUUUUAGGAUUGCAUGAUGUGGAGGAAAUUACAUUGAUUGUAAAGAAUAUGCAAGCAAAGACAGGCAGAUCAGUCUUUCAGGCUCCUUGAUGUAAAACUUGAGAUGAAGCUCAGUGUGAAGUAUUGUUUGUGCCCCUCUGCCUUCAUUACCUAGCUGUGUAUUUGGACCUGAGCUUCUGUUACCUGACUCUGUGUCUGACUUUGUUUGCCUGCCACCUGCAUCGACUCUCAACAGGAUCUUAACUAUCCUGUUUUUCCUCUGAUGAUCUCAUGCCUGUUAUUAACUGCUGCCUGUCUGAGCCUGAUUUAUCUUUGUGGACUUUUAGCUGAGCUAAUAAACCUGCUGCAUUGGAAUCAGCCGUCUGCCUGUUUUUGUGACAGUAUUGUUCAUUUUAAUCCAGAGAAUUCUAGUUUUUCAA
ensembl:lncRNA